GCUUUGGUGGUGUAAGGGUAACAUGGAGUCUUCCCACCAGAGAAUGGCUCCGCCCGGGGUUCGAGUCCCCGCCAAAGCA